rnacentral:lncRNA from 1 species
GAUCCGUUACAAGUGAAACAAGGAAAGAAAAUAACUACCAUCCGGAAGUUAUCGGGGGAAGCUUCUCUCAGGUGCAUCUCUAAAACUCUAGAUUUCUAUUUAAUUCCUCUCCUUUACUCUACUCUCCUUCUCCCCCUUCUCUUGAUGCUUUUGUUGUGACUAUUGUGUUCUGUUUUUGUGUUUUUGUUGCUUUAGUGUAGUUGUGUGUUAAGGUUUUAGCUCAACUGUAUCAAAGCUUCAAGGUGAAGCUCUGAGUAGUUAGAAUCUAGAGCUAAAAUGAGGGUAUUUGGGUGUAGUAUUUAGCAGAGUAAUGGUGCUUAAAUGUUGAUGCCAAUGAAUGAAACAUUGUAGGGUAUUUAUAUAAAGUGAGAUGAGGGUGUGAGGUACGUGUGAGCAGAAUUGAGGGAGAUAUUCUCCUCUCUUAAGCAUCUGCCAUUUUGCAAAUUGGAUUAGGAUAAGAAUGAGGAAAAAAAGUUGUUAUAGGGCUUUGCAAUCAUUCCUGAUUUUGUAGGAUUACGAGCGAGGUUUGCGUGAGGUAAUGUUGAUAAAGGGUGAGGAUGAGGUGAGAUCAAAUUAUGUCGUGAUACAAUUGAAGUGUGUUUGUUGUAAGGGGAAUAUGAGUUUCAAUUAUGUGAGGUAUGUGUGACUUGUGGUUCCCAAUUGCUCAAUUGUAUGUAUGAUGGUAUGUAUGUGUGAUGUUAUGUAUGUACAAUGUUGUUGUUUUUUUGCACUUUGUUGAAUUAAUUUCUUUUUUUAUUUUGAAUUAGUUUGAAUGUGAUGAAUGGUUUGAAUGCAACAUGUAUUAAGAUGUAUGAUGUUCUCAUUUGUAAUUUGUGUUGUUUGUAAGGUAAUGUGUGAUAUGUAUAAGGUUAAGCAAUAAUGAAGAUGAUGCAACACGGCUGGUGAAGAGAUGCAGUAGUGAUGGUUAUGAAGUGUGCAUGAGGAAUGAAAGCAUGCACACACAAUGAUGUUGAUGCUGGAUGAACGUACAUGAUGGAACAUGGGUGGGUGGAAGAAUUCACACACUACACCUGAGAGGAGUACGAAGAGGAAUUUGCACAAAGUUGAUUUCAUUUCUUUUUCUCUUUUUUUUCUCAAUUUUUUUAGUAAAAGUUUGCACUUGUUUCUAAACAUAAUUUAGAGUGCACUCUAACUGUAUUUUUAUUUGACAUUAAUAAAACAAAAGUUUAUCUUAAAACUCUCACUUUUAUAUUUUGUAAAAUAAAAAUAAUAAUCUAAAACCAAAGGUUGUUUCAUGCUAGAAA